AUUGGCCCAUAUGUACACAAUCAUUUGUAUCUCCUAAAAUAUUUCUGUUUAUUUCUGAAAGAUGGAUGAGUUCGUGAAGGCAAAACUUCUGGAAUGGAAUCUGGCUGAAUUGCUCCCUGCUUUUGAAGGAUGCAUGGUUCACACCAGGGAGGAGGCAUAAACCAGCAACAGGGUUUCUCGAGGAGCGCCUCCGCAAUGUCCGCAAAAGGCUCCGCACUGGCAGGCGGGGUCAUUCAACACUCCAAGUGCCACAUGAAGUGCCUCAAGUAAUUUUGCCAGAACCAACAAUAACUCCAGAGCGGGCCAUCCAGUUAACUGAAUGGUUGAAAAACAACAUCUGGCCACCAUCCCAGGUUGGCCAACACAUGCUGGAGACCGCCACCCAUAGAGCACAGUGGAUAAGGUCAAACGGGACA